GGCUCCAUAGCCAAGUGGUAAGGCAACGGUCUGCAACACCGUGAGCACCAGUUCAAAUCUGGUUGGAGCCUCCA
rnacentral:tRNA from 1 species